rnacentral:tRNA from 1 species
UAGCUCAGUUGGUUAGAGCACCACCUUGACAUGGUGGGGGUCGUUGGUUCGAAUCCAAUCGC